rnacentral:misc_RNA from 1 species
GAUGAACGUAGCGAAAUGCGAUAAGUAAUGUGAAUUGCAGAAUUCAGUGAAUCAUCGAAUCUUUGAACGCAUCUUGCGCUCCUUGGUAUUCCUUGGAGCAUGCCUGUUUGAGUAUCAUGAGCAAAUCUCAAAGUCAAUUCCUUUUGUUAAUUCAAUUGGUUUUGCUUUGGACUUGGAGGUCUUGCAGAUUUUCACAGUCUGCUCCUCUUAAAUGCAUUAGCUGGAUCUCAGUAAUUAUGCUUGGUUCCACUCGGCGUGAUAAGUAUCACUCGCUGAGGACACUGUUAAAAAGGUGGCCAGGAAAAUACUGAUUGAACCGCUUCUAACGGUCUAUUAAGUUAGACAAUUACCCUUAAGUUUGAUCUCAAAUCAGGUAGGACUACCCGCUGAACUUAAGCAUAUCAAUAAGCGGAGGA